CCAAGGUCCUUUUCCCAGGCUGAGAUGUAUGGCAGAAUGACUUGGGAGUGGUGUGUGGUUAGUGUUAUGUAUAGAUUGGAUAUCUGGCUUUUUCGAGAUGGAGUUCUAAGGCAGUCCCGUUUGAGAGGUGAGGUAGCUGCCAAGCGGAUUGUGUCUGACGUGGCGAAGCUGCGGAGUUGGAGGAAUUGGAAAUGGUCAAAGGAGGUUAGGGUGUCAGAGUUGGGGAUUUCAGUGUAUUGUAGCAGUUUCCCGUUGGGGUACAGAUGUCCUAGCCUGACUAUGUCUCUUUCCUCAUAGUGUGCG